rnacentral:rRNA from 1 species
UACGGGGGGAGCAAGCGUUGUUCGGAUUUACUGGGCGUAAAGGGCGCGUAGGCGGCCACCGCAAGUCAGUUGUGAAAUCUCUGGGCUUAACCCAGAAAGGUCAACUGAUACUGCGGGGCUAGAGUGCAGAAGGGGCAACUGGAAUUCUCGGUGUAGCGGUGAAAUGCGUAGAUAUCGAGAGGAACACCUGCGGCGAAGGCGGGUUGCUGGGCUGACACUGACGCUGAGGCACGAAGGUCAGGGGAGCAAACGGG